AGCUGACAGCUCAGUGUUUCUCUCUGGUUUCAGAGUAGCAGAUCAACAUCCAUAGGUAAGCAAGGGCAGUAGUGCAGGAAGCCUCGCAUUUUCCUUUUCCCUGACGACUCCGGGCUCCCCUGGCCGGGGUGGAAACCAGUACGCGCCAACUCCUGAGCCUGCAGCCUGGGGAGCGCAGACUUACCCGUCAAUGUGGGGGGUAAGUUCAAUGAAAUCAAUGAAAGCCACCAUCUCCCUGGACACUGGACCACUGCAGCAGGGUCCUGUCCUGCUCCCAAUGCGUCCAUAAAGAGGCAGAAGACAAGGCGGUAUUUCCCAGUCACACGCCUGCCCUACGCUGCCAGCGGUGCGGGGGCACAGCGAGACAAGCCCUUGGAACAUGUCCCUGGUCCUUCCAGUCCCAGAUGAGGCUGUCUGGGUUUAUGUGGCUACACACUCUUCCCAAGAGCAUUUCUGAAAGCUUCCAAGGGAUUAAAGAAACAACUGUUCCUCUUUUAAUGCCAGAAUCAUAGGAAGUUUAAAUGAAAACCUAGGAAAUUAUUUUUUUUUUCAAAAUAUUUCUUUUUAGUAGCUCUGCUUCCAAUGCUCCAGAGCCAUAGGCACAUGCCACACUGGAGCCACAGAAAUCAAAAUUUUUAGAAAGAUAAUGAAGCUGUCAUAAUACUUGUCAAAUAUUUUUCCAAAUGUAAUAGGAAUUGAGUGUACAGCAAUGCAGAGAACAUUCAGGCACCUCUUGCUGCAAGCAUCUGCCUGGAUCUAAUUUGUACAAACUUGAAAACAGGGAUUUCUAGUGAAAGCACUGACAAAGUCUCAGCUGUAAGACUAAAGAUAGACGAAAACUCAGCGCCGCAGACUGCAUUUUCACUCAAGAAGCACCAUGUGCAGCCCUACUUUAAAAAAGGGUGAGUGAAAAGGAACAGAAAAGCGAGGCACCGAAUGCGCACACCCCAAACCACAAGCAUCAGUCCCUAGAGACAACAUGAAACGGCCUCUCAAGGUGCAGCUUCUACAGCCACAUGCACUGUUAACCCGACAUCUGUUUUGCUCUCUUGCUGUUCCCCAGAAAGAUGCACUGGGACAGAGAAAGACAGGGAAAGGUGUCCUCAAGACAGAGGGGAGAGGUGCAAGGAGCAAACACCACUCCCUCAGCUUUAGAGAAGGAAAAAAAAAAAAAAAAAAAAAAAGAGAAUAAACACCUCCUGAGUGCUGGCUUGCUUAUCCUCCGCACCUCCCUUUUUCUAGCAGUUUGAUGUUCACAUGCGGAAAUCAAAAUAUUUCCAUGGGGAAAUGUGCUGUCAGCAUUUUACAGAUUUGGGAGAGAAAGGCACAGAUGUCUGUGUGAACUCCAGCACCCCCGCAGCCAUCGCCUUCCCGUUUUCCCCAGAAAGGAGUAGAUUCUUGGGACGUUACAGCCACAUGUCUUGGUUAUUUUUACCCUGGCAGCUAAAUACUGGAUCAUGGCUACUAUAAACAAACCUGUUUAAUUUUGAACUUGUAAGUGUUGUUCGUGCCAGUUUUUUAAGUUACUAUAAACCAGGCCAUGAAAAGGGAUGGAUUUUUUUUUUAAAAAAGCAUCUACUAAACAUUGCUUAAUAUCCUACCAAAAUCCUUUCAUUGCUCAUAGCCAUGUUUGCAAAACAAACUCAAAUCCAGCACUUUCGCAAAGGAAAGAUUUACGAUGAUCAAAAUCACACUAAAACUGGCAGAUCCCUUCCACAAUAAAAAACCCAAACAAAUACAAAGAAUGAUACAGCAAUGAAGUCUGGAAACACGGGACCUGGGGCUGUACCCUUGGCUUCACCGAGGACCUGCACUCGUCAGACCACAGGCUGCAAAGCGCCAGCAGCACCGCACCAGUCCGACUGCCCAGCUCCAGCAGUGCCGAACCACAGCUCCACUCACCAUCUGCUCCCUAAUAUGUUAUACACCAUGUUCUUAGAUAUUAAAUUACUCAAUGAAGUCAAAAGCAUGUUAAAUACUUCCCUAACAUUAAUCAAAGCUGCCAACAAUUAUGCAAUUGUUACAUGUGAGCUAAGGAAAUGUGCCGGGAAGAGAGAUGGUGGAUCACACAUGAAAGGGUGUUUGUCUGCAAAUCACACAAUUAAUUAACAAAUACCUUCCCUAAAAAGUAACGAGACAAACACCCCCAUAGAGUUAUCCUGUUAGUUAGCACAGAAUUUACUUAAAUAAUAAAAAUCACUGCCAUGGACGCACUCGCCACGUCCCUUCCCCAAGGCAGUCAAUCUCCCCAUCACCUUUAGGGUACACAGAAAGCCUGCUCCACCUUUCCCGAGGCCAUCAACACCAGAAGAAUGAGAGGGACAACGUGCCCCCCGCC